rnacentral:rRNA from 1 species
GAUGAACGCUAGCGGCAGGCCUAAUACAUGCAAGUCGAACGGUGUCUUCGGACAUAGUGGCGCACGGGUGCGUAACACGUAUACAACCUACCUUACAUUGGGGGAUAGCCUUUCGAAAGGGAGAUUAAUACCGCAUAAGACAGUAGCUGGGCAUCCAGCAGCUGUUAAAGAUUUAUCGAUGUAAGCUGGGCAUGCGUCCAAUUAGCUAGUUGGGGAGGUAACGGCUCACCAAGGCAAUGAUUGGUAGGGGAACUGAGAGGUCAAUCCCCCACACUGGCACUGAGAUACGGGCCAGACUCCUACGGGAGGCAGCAGUAGGGAAUAUUGGGCAAUGGACGCAAGGCUGACCCAGCCAUGCCGCGUGCAGGAUGAAGGCGUUAUGCGUUGUAAACCGCUUUUAUACAGGAAGAAACGACUCUUGCGAGAGGCAUUGACGGUACUGUAUGAAUAAGCACCGGCUAACUCCGUGCCAGCCGCCGCGGUAAGAC